rnacentral:rRNA from 1 species
CUGCGACCCCAGGUCAGGCGGGAUCACCCGCUGAGUUUAAGCAUAUCAAUAAGCGGAGGAAAAGAAACUUACCAAGGAUUCCCCUAGUAACGGCGAGCGAACCGGGAAUAGCCCAAC